AUAGAAAGCGGGCAGACGGGACCAGUAAACACGUGUAAAACGUUACCUUUUGGUUCGGAACAACACAGGGAAACUUGUGCUAAUACCGGAUAAGCCCUUACGGGGAAAGAUUUAUCGCCGAAAGAUCGGCCCGCGUCUGAUUAGCUAGUUGGUGAGGUAAUGGCUCACCAAGGCGACGAUCAGUAGCUGGUCUGAGAGGAUGAUCAGCCACAUUGGGACUGAGACACGGCCCAAACUCAUACGGGAGGCAGCAGUGGGGAAUAUUGGACAAUGGGGGCAACCCUGAUCCAGCCAUGCCGCGUGAGUGAUGAAGGCCCUAGGGUUGUAAAGCUCUUUUGUGCGGGAAGAUAAUGACGGUACCGCAAGAAUAAGCCCCGGCUAACUUCGUGCCAGCAGCCGCGGUAAUACGAAGGGGGCUAGCGUUGCUCGGAAUCACUGGGGCGUAAAGGGUGCGUAGGCGGGGUCUUUAAGUCAGGGGUGAAAUCCUGGAGCUCAACUCCAGAACUGCCUUUGAUACUGAAGAUCUUGAGUCCGGAGAGGUGAGUGGAACUGCGAGUGUAGAGGUGAAAUUUGUAGAUAUUCGCAAGAACACAGUGGCGAAGGCGGCUCACUGCCCCGGUACUGACGCUGAGGCACGAAAGCGUGGGGAGCAAACAGGAUUAGAUCCCUGGUAGUCCACGCCGUAAACGAUGAAUGCCAGCCGUUAGUGGGUUUACUCACUAGUGGCGCAAGCUAACGCUUUAAGCAUUCCGCCUGGGGAGUACGGUCGCAAGAUUAAAACUCAAAGGAAUUGACGGGGGCCCCGCACAAGCGGUGGAGCAUGUGGUUUAAUUCGACGCAACGCGCAGAACCUUACCAGCCCUUGACAUGUCCAGGACCGGUCGCAGAGAUGUGACCCUCUCUUCGGAGCCUGGAGCACAGGUGCUGCAUGGCUGUCGUCAGCUCGUGUCGUGAGAUGUUGGGUUAAGUCCCGCAACGAGCGCAACCCCCGUCCUUUAGUUGCUACCAUUUAGUUGAGCACUCUAAGGAGACUGCCGGUGAUAAGCCGCGAGGAAGGUGGGGAUGACGUCAAGUCCUCAUGGCCCUUACGGGCUGGGCUACACACGUGCUACAAUGGCGGUGACAAUGGGAUGCUAAGGGGCGACCCUUCGCAAAUCUCAAAAAGCCGUCUCAGUUCGGAUUGGCUCUGCAACUCGAGCCCAUGAAGUUGGAAUCGCUAGUAAUCGUGGAUCAGCACGCCACGGUGAAUACGUUCCCGGGCCUUGUACACACCGCCCGUCACACCAUGGGAGUUGGUUUUACCUGAAGACGGUGCGCUUUCCUUAAAUUGAGGCCCCGGGUUGGU
rnacentral:rRNA from 1 species